AACGAACGCUGGCGGCAGGCCUAACACAUGCAAGUCGAAGGAGAAGCCAUCUUCGGAUGGUGGAAACUGGCGCACGGGUGAGUAACGCGUGGGUAUCUACCUCGGGGUGGGAAUAACCGUUGGAAACGGCGGCUAAUACCGCAUACGCCUUAAGAGGGAAAGCUCCGGCGCCCUGAGAGGAGCCCGCGUUGGAUUAGCUUGUUGGUGGGGUAAUGGCCUACCAAGGCUACGAUCUAUAGCUGGUCCGAGAGGAUGAUCAGCCACACUGGGACUGAGACACGGCCCAGACUCCUACGGGAGGCAGCAGUGGGGAAUAUUGGACAAUGGGCGCAAGCCUGAUCCAGCCAUGCCGCGUGAGUGAAGAAGGCCUUAGGGUUGUAAAGCUCUUUCACCUGCGAAGAUGAUGACGGUAGCAGGAGAAGAAGCCCCGGCUAACUCCGUG
rnacentral:rRNA from 1 species